UAAUUCCUACGGGGCGCAGCAGUGGGGAAUAUCGCACAAUGGGGGAAACCCUGAUGCAGCGACGCCGCGUGAGUGAGGAAGUAUUUCGGUAUGUAAAGCUCUAUCAGCAGGGAAGAUAAUGACGGUACCUGACUAAGAAGCCCCGGCUAACUACGUGCCAGCAGCCGCGGUAAUACGUAGGGGGCAAGCGUUAUCCGGAUUUACUGGGUGUAAAGGGAGCGUAGGGGGCAGGGCAAGUCAGAUGUGAAAACCCGGGGCUCAACUGCGGGGGUGCAUUUGAAACUGUCCAGCUAGAGUGCAG
rnacentral:rRNA from 1 species